GGGUAGCGGAAUUCCUGGUGUAGCAGUGAAAUGCGUAGAGAUCAGGAGGAACAUCCAUGGCGAAGGCAGCUACCUGGACCAACACUGACACUGAGGCACGAAAGCGUGGGGAGCAAACAGGAUUAGAUACCCUGGUAGUCCACGCCCUAAACGAUGCGAACUGG
rnacentral:rRNA from 1 species